rnacentral:tRNA from 1 species
GCGGUCAUCGUCUAGUUUGGUUAGGACACUGGCCUUCCACUCCAAUUGAUGGAGAAGAAAGCCCGCAACCCGGGACUCUAGUUAAUUAGAGCGGGAAUUCAAAUCCCGGUGACCGCA